rnacentral:rRNA from 1 species
CCUAAAGAGUAACGGAGGAGUACGAAGGUGCGCUCAGCGUGGUCGGAAAUCACGCGUAGAGUAUAAAGGCAAAAGCGCGCUUAACUGCGAGACCCACAAGUCGAGCAGGUACGAAAGUAGGUCUUAGUGAUCCGGUGGUUCUGUAUGGAAGGGCCAUCGCUCAACGGAUAAAAGGUACUCUGGGGAUAACAGGCUGAUACCGCCCAAGAGUUCAUAUCGACGGCGGUGUUUGGCACCUCGAUGUCGGCUCAUCUCAUCCUGGGGCUGAAGCAGGUCCCAAGGGUAUGGCUGUUCGCCAUUUAAAGAGGUACGCGAGCUGGGUUUAGAACGUCGUGAGACAGUUCGGUCCCUAUCUACCGUGGGCGCUGGAAAUUUGAGAGGAUCUGCUCCUAGUACGAGAGGACCAGAGUGGACGAACCUCUGGUGUACCGGUUGUGACGCCAGUCGCAUCGCCGGGUAGCUAUGUUCGGAAGGGAUAACCGCUGAAAGCAUCUAAGCGGGAAGCCUACCUCAAGAUAAGAUUUCCCUAGGACUUUAUGUCCUCUAAAGAGCCGUUCGAGACUAGGACGUUGAUAGGUUGGAUGUGGAAGCAUAGUGAUAUGUGAAGCUGACCAAUACUAAUUGCUCGUGAGGCUUGACUAU